CCUACGGGAGGCAGCAGGGGGGGAUAUUGCACAAUGGGGGGAACCCUGAUGCAGCGACGCCGCGUGGGUGAAGGAGUAGUUCGGUAUGUAAAGCCCUAUCGGCAGGGAAGAAUUUAGACGGUACCUGACUAAGAAGCCCCGGCUAACUACGUGCCAGCAGCAGCGGUAAUACGUAGGGGGCAAGCGUUAUCCGGAUUCACUGGGUGUAAAGGGAGCGUAGACGGCCAGGCAAGCCUGGAGUGAAAGCCCGGGGCCCAACCCCGGGACUGCUCUGGAAACUGUCCGGCGGGAGUGCGGGAGGGGCAGGCGGAAUUCCGGGUGUAGCGGUGAAAUGCGUAGAUAUCAGGAGGAACACCGGCGGCGAAGGCGGCCUGCUGGACCGCGACUGACGUUGAGGCUCGAAAGCGUGGGGAGCGAACAGGAUUAGAUACCCGGGUAGUC
rnacentral:rRNA from 1 species